rnacentral:rRNA from 1 species
GAUGAACGCUGACAGAAUGCUUAACACAUGCAAGUCAACUUGAAUCUGGGUUUUUAACUUAGGUUUGGGUGGCGGACGGGUGAGUAACGCGUAAAGAACUUGCCUCACAGCUAGGGACAACAUUUGGAAACGAAUGCUAAUACCUAAUAUUAUGAUAAUAGGGCAUCCUAUAAUUAUGAAAGCUAUAAGCGCUGUGAGAGAGCUUUGCGUCACAUUAGCUAGUUGGAGAGGUAACGGCUCACCAAGGCGAUGAUGGGUAGCCGGCCUGGGAGGGUGAUCGGCCACAAGGGGACUGGGGCACGGCCCUUACUCCUACGGGAGGCAGCAGUGGGGAAUAUUGGACAAUGGACCAAGAGUCUGAUCCAGCAAUUCUGUGUGCACGAUGAAGUUUUUCGGAAUGUAAAGUGCUUUCAGUUGGGAAGAAAGAAAUGACGGUACCAACAGAAGAAGUGACGGCUAAAUACGUG